rfam:Dipodomys ordii contig_46078, whole genome shotgun sequence.
GGUGGCUCAGUGGUAGAGUACUUGCCUUGCAUGCAUGAGGCCCUGGGUUCGAUUCCUCAGCACCA